rnacentral:piRNA from 1 species
UAGAACAGACAUAUGAGCAACAUUAAA